CCCCCUCCGGGACGCAGCAGUGAGGAAUAUUGGUCAAUGGUCGGGAGACUGAACCAGCCAAGCCGCGUGAGGGAGGAAGGUACAGAGUAUCGUAAACCUCUUUUGUCAGGGAACAAAGACUGGGACGCGUCCCCGGAUGAGUGUACCUGAAGAAAAAGCAUCGGCUAACUAUGUGCCAGCAGCCGCGGUAAUACAUAGGGAGCAAGCGUUAUCCGGAUUUAUUGGGUGUAAAGGGUGCGUAGACGGGAAAUUAAGUUAGUUGUGAAAUCCAUCGGCUUAACUGAGGAACUGCAACUAAAACUGAU
rnacentral:rRNA from 1 species